UGCUUUUUCCUAAGCGAUUUAACUUGCCUCCCACUCCCUGUUCUCUCCCCACUGCAUUUGGCUCCUGCGGCCUUUUCACCUUUAGCGGCUUGCAGGGUCCCGCGUCACCUCUUCUCCCGCGGCCUCAGUGGCUCAGGGCCUGGCCCAAGUGACUCCGAAGCGGAACCAGGUUAUGGAAAGAGCGGCCCCGGGCGGCGGCGGCGGGUAGGGAAGGGAGGUGACAGCGAAGCGAGGCCUUGCAGUUUCGGCCUAAAGGAGAGCGCAGGGGAGGCCCGGGUCUCGGGUGACACCCACGCCCAGAGUGCGACUGUGGCUGCGAGGACGGGACAAGAAAACGCUCCACUGUUCUGCACUGUGCGGGCUGACUGCCCCUGUAACCCCGAGGGAUUUGAAAUUAGCACGAAUCGGAAUUCCCUGUGGGAUCCUGUCAAAAAUGUAGAUUUCUGGGCUUCACUCUGGGACUCUCUAGAUCAAUCGAUCUGGGGCGCGGCGUAGGAAUCUGCAUUUCUGUGUGGAUCACGGCUGAAAUAGCACAAGACUGGAAGUCAGAAGACCAGUUCAGGGGCAGUUGGAGACAUCUAGCUCUACCUCAACACCUAGGAUCCCAGGAAGGUACUGACAAAGUGGAAGCUGCCUCAAAGGGCAGAGACACUUUCAUCUUAUUGCCACCUGUGGCCAGUACGGAUUCCAAACGACCAGGGGCCAGAGUGGUUUCAUCCCAAUUUUCUCUUGGCCUGGGGGCCUUCUACAUCCAUCAGCAUGUUCUUUAUAUUUUAUAUCCUCAUUUACCUUCAAUAUGUAUUUUUUCAGUAGUGGUUUGUGCAAGGAACCAUGCAGGAAGGAAAUACACAGAUGAGUGAGGUAGAGUACAUUUUCUUAAAAACUCAGCCCAGUGAAAGACGGAGCCAUGGACUGGUGAUUUCAUUUAUCGGUGUUGCGAGUUUGCUCACACAGAGGAAUCCAAGACUAACAUUGAUAUUACAGUUCUUUAUUAGUUAACAGCUCUUUUUGGUGUUACAGCACUUUAUUGCUUGCAAGCAAAGAGAGCACAAGCAUCAGGCUAGUGUCUCCCUGAAUGACGGAAAGGGGCAGCCUUAUAUAGCCAAAACUUCCUGCCCAAGUUCUCAUUUAGGUCCUCUUAUGCAAAUGAGGGAUGCAAGUCUGUUAAUUUGGAUUGGUUGGCUAUGAGACAUAGUUCAUUGGUCAGUUCUGGAGCCAAAUUUGCAUUCGGCUCUUAGGGUGGUGCAAAACCGCUGUUACCUUUUGUUAGCACAUGGGUGCAGGAAGCAAGCUAGGUUACAGAAGCUAAAGUUAGUGAUUAAGACAGCCAAGCAUAAAAUUUCUAAAACAGUUUCUCCAGCGGAAGGGGGCAGGUUUAACAAUCAGAAAAUGCUCAGGGUUCCCUGCUUCAUUAGGAUGAGUUUUGGCUACGAGUCACAGGAAACCCAAAAAAUAGUGAAAUAGGCAAGAUAGAGGUUUGUUUCUCUCUCAUGUAAAAGUCCAGGGAAUGGCAGCUAUUUGAUCAUGAGACACCCAGGUUCCUCCUCCUUUCAUCCUCGAAAUGUACCUUUACGUUCUGUUCCAAGGUGGUUGCUCCUGCCCCUGCCAUCACAUCAUUGUACUAGCUAGUGGGGAGGAGAUACGGGGGCAAAGAAGGGCCCCACUCCAAUAUCACCUUAUUUGAAGGACACUUCCCAAAAGUUGCACAUGCCACUUCCACUCACAUCCCAUGGGAAGGUGGGAAUUAUAGCUUUUUUUUCCGGGUGGCCACAUUCUCAGCUAAAAAUCAAGUGGCCUGUAACUGUAGAAGAAAGUGGGAAAGUCCAGAAGUUUCUGCCACUGAUGCUGAAAUAGGUACACAGAUAAGAUAUCUGUGCAAGAUUAGAAUAAAAGCAUGACAAAGAGAA